CGGCGAUUCGGGCCUCUGCUUCUGCAUCGGCGGCCAGAUCAGCGUCGAUGUGUUCCCCAAGGGCUGGGACAAGACGUACUCGCUGCAGUUCGUCGAGAAGGAGGGCUUUGAUGAGAUUCACUUUUUCGGCGACAAGACGAGUCCGGGCGGCAACGAUCACGCCAUCUAUGAGGACCCGCGCACGGUGGGCCACUCUGUCGUCGACCCCAGCGACACGCGGCGGCAGGUGGAGGAACUGCUCAAACUACGCUGACGACGCUAGCGACGAUAGCGGCGAGUUGGGAAACUGUGUUCUCGGCUAGAGGACUUAUUGCUAUAGGUGGCGCGCUAGGACCAAGGCUGCCCAGCGUCUGCAGACUGGGUGGAUGAUUUGAUGCGGCAUUUGAUGCCACACCAAAGCUUGUUUCGUGGUGCCUCAGCUUUGGGAUCUGACUCGUGGAUUUUCAAGAAUAUGUCACUCUGCUUUGUUAAAAUUUAAGAAAUGUAGCGUCGCUCGUGUGAUAAAAUGCCUACUCUUGAAACACGUUUGUGAAUUACUGGUGAGCUAUGUCAGUUUUUAGAAGCGAAUAUGACUGACCAGCGCGUACUGGCGACUAGGUUUUCAUCUGUACUUGUUGCGGCUUGCCGUAUAUUACGGCUGUUACGCAUUGUCAUGAUAAUUCAAUGCGCAUUUAACCGACCAACCAAAGUUUGAUCAUUUCUUAAAACUAUGUUUUUCAUUGGACUGGAGGCAUUGAGUGGGGAUUUUUCUACGUUUUGCAUAUUAAUGUGGAAUAUGUUACUUCCCAUUGUCUGAUAUCCAGCAUUCAUUAAAUUGUUUGUGUAUUUUUCGGUACGAGCGGUUCUUAUUUCCGAUGCGGUUAUUUUCGUGGUGGUUUGUACGUCGCACUUGUACGUAGGAUCGUUUUCGUUUUGUUUUCCGCUGUUCUAAAAAGGUGUUUUCCAAUAAACCGUCUCAAAGUUUGAA